UAUCUAUGAUGUGGACAUUGAACUAAAAACAAUUUAAAUCUUUCCCACGCUUAAUGGAAUGGCUCACCAUCAAGUUGAGAGAAAGUAGAAUUUUACCUCUUAGUUC